CAAGGGAUCAUCAUCCAAGACGAAGACCACCAUCAAGGUGCCAACCGGCACAAGGAUCCUUCCACCUAGACACAAUGAGAGGGUCGUUGGAGUCAAGACCAACCGGAGCGGCGAGAUCAGCAGUAUUCGCUACACUACGGAGGAGGAAAGGCCUUACUUCGAAGGGAUUAGAGCAGCCAAGGUCCGUUUCAUCCCUCCAAAGGCAGCCCCAAAGCACGCUCUCAAUACUUUUGAGACACCUCCUAAGCGUCGCAAGACUAUAGUAGAUAUUGAUGAGGACGUUCGCAGGCUAGACAGAGUUAUCAUAGACCUCCAGUCCUCGAUUAAUUCCCUCACUAGGCAGCUCUCUAACCACAACACUAUUAUACUAGGCCUUAGGCAUGAUCUUGCCAGUGCCAACAAGAAGAUUAAGGAAUUAGAGCGCCGCUAAGUUAUCUAGAUUAGACCUUGAGGCAAAUGCAUCUUAGUUAUCUAUCUUUAAAUUCGGUUUAGGUUUACUAUUAUCAAUCAGUUUGCUAUCAGUUUACUACUAGUCUUUUGUAAUAAAUGCCUCAAGAUUAAUAAAGAGUAUUAUUAUUAUGGCUUGUGUGUCUCUACUUUAUUUUUGUGCAAGAAAGCAGAAAACAAGUAUGGGGGAGAUCCCUCGACACGCCAAACACACUUCGACUACACCACUCCACGAUUCAGGUACACACUCUGCACACUUUACUUUACACAUACACAUAUCUUGGAUUAUGCAGAAUACUGUUUCCGACAUGAUAAAUUAAAAAGAUUAAAAUAUUUCUAAUCAUGAUUAAUCUCAUUCUGUGAUAUUUCCUGAAACUUGUAACUAUUAUAAAAUCAUUUUAAAAAAAAUAAAACCUAUGUUACUUAAGACAGUUGGAAUGUGAGAUGGUAGAGUAUGAGUUUCUUAUUCUUGAUAUCAUUGUUGCUUGGAGAAUUUAUUUCAAAAUUAAUUCUAGCUACCAUCCUUAGUGUUUUAUAUGCCUGAUAAAACUGAAAAUAUUAAUUAUGAUUAUAAAAGCUAUCUACUCUGUAUUGAGUUUGUUCAAAAUGAGUUAGACCCUUGUUGAGAGAUUUAUCAUGCUCCUAAGAUCAAGACAUUUAUUCAGAAAGAUUCACUCUUCCGAAGUAUUAUUGCAUUAGAGGCAUGGGCUAUUCAAAAAUAAAGAUAUUUCGAGGAAAUAAGAAGGAGCAAGUGCUCGACAACCUCGCAGAAAAAAAAAUACACAAGUGUCCGGCAGUAGAAUUAGGGGUACCUCGGUAUCCACAUAAAAAAAGAAGAGAGAGAAAAAUAAAAUGAUAGCCCAUGGUCCCUCUAAUAAGCAAUAUGCCAGCAAGAGUUGACAAAGAUUUUAAUUUCCAAAGUCUUUGAUCUAAGAGUAUGACAUUCUCCUCCUCGGAUCCCGUUUUGAUCAGGCAAUAAAUACAAAGUAAGUGUGCUUGAGAAUUUUUGCAAAUUAAAACAACCUCAGUGAGAUAUAUAAAAAAUAAUGAGUGAUCUGAGAGAACCUAUGAGGAUAAAAAGGUAUGCUAACUAUCUUUCAAAAAUAUACAACAACUCCAAGUGACAGGAUUGAGAAGAAAGGAUCUUUACUCUUAACUAUAUACUUCCCUGACUAUAGUACACAGUGGAAUUUUAACACCCUGUAGUUAUGAAAAGAAUGUUUUAAAAUGUUUUACCCCAAAUAUUUUUCUUAACCAUCCUUUUCUCGAGGACAAGUAAAAGCCUAAGUAUGGGGGAAUUUGUUGACGGUUCUUAAGUAUCAAUUUUAAUUAUCAAAUAAACAAGAGAAAGGACCAAUAUGCAACCAACACCUAGAAUUAGGGUUUGAUCUGACAGAAUUCCACGAGUUUUGUUGUUUAUCUGUUUCUGCAGGGGGUUAUCAGGA
rnacentral:lncRNA from 1 species